ACGGAGGGAGCUAGCGUUGUUCGGAAUUACUGGGCGUAAAGCGUGCGUAGGCGGUGACUCAAGUCAGAGGUGAAAGCCUGGAGCUCAACUCCAGAACUGCCUUUGAAACUAGGUCGCUAGAAUCAUGGAGAGGUGAGUGGAAUUCCGAGUGUAGAGGUGAAAUUCGUAGAUAUUCGGAAGAACACCAGUGGCGAAGGCGGCUCACUGGACAUGUAUUGACGCUGAGGCACGAAAGCGUGGGGAGCAAACAGGAUUAGAUACCCUGGUAGUCCACGCCGUAAACGAUGAUAACUAGCUGCCAGGACUCUUGGAGUUUUGGUGGCGCAGCUAACGCAUUAAGUUAUCCGCCUGGGGAGUACGGUCGCAAGAUUA
rnacentral:rRNA from 1 species